rnacentral:tRNA from 1 species
UGGGUUGUGACUCAGAGGUAGAGCACUCACCUACCAUGCUUGAGGCAUUGGGUUCGAUCCUCAACACCACAU